rnacentral:rRNA from 1 species
CGUUUUCCGCGUUGGCCCAUGUACAAGUCUGCUGGAAUGCAGCGUCAUAGAGGGUGAGAAUCCCGUCCUUGACAUGGACUACCAAUGCUUUGUGAUACGUUUUCAACGAGUCGAGUUGUUUGGGAAUGCAGCUCAAAUGGGUGGUAAAUUCCAUCUAAAGCUAAAUAUUGGCGAGAGACCGAUAGCGAACAAGUACCGUGAGGGAAAGAUGAAAAGCACUUUGGAAAGAGAGUUAAACAGUAUGUGAAAUUGUUGAAAGGGAAACGAUUGAAGUCAGUCGUGGGUCUUGCAUUCAGCUGGUUCUGCCAGUGUACUUGCUUGACCUGGGGUCAACAUCGGUUUUGGCUGUCGGAAAAGGUUGGGGGGAAUGUAGCACUCUCGGGUGAACUUAUAGCCCUUUAACGUAUACGAUGGCUGGGACCGAGGAACGCAGCUUGCCUUUAUGGCCGGGGCUCGCCCACGUACAAGCUUAGGAUGUUGACAUAAUGGCUUUAAACGACCCGUCUUGAAA